AAAUUGAAGAGUUUGAUCAUGGCUCAGAUUGAACGCUGGCGGCAGGCCUAACACAUGCAAGUCGAGCGGAAACGAGUUAUCAGAACCUUCGGGGGACGAUAACGGCGUCGAGCGGCGGACGGGUGAGUAAUGCCUAGGAAAUUGCCCUGAUGUGGGGGAUAACCAUUGGAAACGAUGGCUAAUACCGCAUGAUGCCUACGGGCCAAAGAGGGGGACCUUCGGGCCUCUCG
rnacentral:rRNA from 1 species